UAUGAACUCGAUAUUGUUAUUUAGAAAGAUUAAAAAAAAAAAAAGAAAAAGUGGAAUGAAGCAUGAAUUGUCCGAAGUAUUUAUCUGUACUGACAUGCAUAAUGCAUCAAGUAUCUCGUUAGACUUUUUAUCUCUGAGGGAUAUUUGUUCCCCUAUCCCCAUCUAGGGUAUCUGUGUCCCCCUCCCCAUCUGGUCUUGAAAGACGUUAGAGAACCACUCCCUGUGGAUGACGGUGUACCUUCUGACGAGAGUGGUAACGUAAAUAUAUAUUAGGGGUCACAUUUACCUAAGUACUAUCGUGACUGUAGAUAUUUG
rnacentral:lncRNA from 1 species